ensembl:lncRNA RERE-AS1 RERE antisense RNA 1
AGUGCAGCAAGGGACCCAAGAAGGCUAGACUGCAGUGGUCUGUAGUAGUUCAGAAUGCCUUCGCCAAGGCAGUGACAUCAGCGAGAUCACAAGGGGUGGGCAACUAUUGCAGGGGUGGGAGGUGGCUUGGUGACCGGGCCCUCCGUGAAGGUCAGAGGUGGAGAAUGGGAGGUGGGUUACAGGGGACAGUCUACACAGACUUGGGGCGGGCAAUCUGGAGUGAGCCAGGCUGUGGAACGCCAGGACCAUGCAAUCGGAACGUGGGCUUGAUACCAAGUGACAUCUAACAGGUCCAGUAAAAGAGGCCUACACAAUAAAGGCAGCAUGUGAGAAAGGCUGACUCUGGAACAUCAGGAUAAACUGCUAUAGUUUUCCACUAUUGAGCUGAAUUUCGUAUCACCAUCAAAAGUUACCUACCUACAAGUCCCUAGUAGAGAAAAUUUAACUUCUGGCUUUAAAAAAGGGACAGAAAAGCAGGCAGAUCUGCUAGUAAGCAAACUACAGCUCCCCCGAGGAGACACACAGGCAGUGGGUAAGAGGAACAGACCCAUGGCUCCACUGAAGACACAGAGCAGCAGACGAAAAAGACAUGUCCUAAAUGUUAAAUGGUGGGUCUCUCUGUUCUCUCCUCCUGAGCCUGGGUAGACCUUUGUAACUGUCUUGACCAACAGAAUGUGACAGAAUGAUACCAGGUGACUUCUAAGACUACAUCAUACAAAGCAACACAGCUUCUGCUGGGCUCUCCCUCUCUGGACACGUGUCUUUGAAGCCCUGAGCUGCCAGAUUAAACAGUCCGGCUUGCCUAAAGUCACCACGCUGGAGAGACCAUCAGGGAUGGAGAGGUGCUACAGAAACCCUAGCUAUUCUAGUCCCCAGCCAUUUGAGUCUUCCUAGCCCAGACUCAUAAGUGAAGAAACCUUCAAGAUGAUUCCAAUACCUCCUAUCACUUGACUGCAACCUCGUGAAAGCCUAAGCCAGACCUGCACGGUGGAGCCAUUCCUAAAUUCUGGUCCCACAGAAACUGUGAAAGAUAAUAAAUGAUCAUCAUUGCU